rnacentral:misc_RNA from 1 species
GGUGUUACAUUCAGAUUCAAGAAUAAUUGUUGCAAGUCUGAAAUCGACCAAAUCAGAGGGUGUUCCUGACCUUUAAAGAUUAGUAUCAACAACAAAGAUACAAAUUAAGCAACAGAAGAAAGAAAAACUAGAAAACUACAAAGCUAAAUACUUUACUGCUACUACGACAACGAAGAGCUGCCAAAAAUUUACAUGCUAGUCACGCUCGGCAUCUUCAAUCUCUU